CUCUCCCCCUUUUUUUUAUGUUUAGGCGAGGGUUUUCUCUCUGCUCCUAACGGGGUUGUAGGAGUGUAGAGGAGCCGUUGAGGAGGCUUUUCUCCUCAUCCGAUCUUGAACGAUCAGGUCUUCAUUUGUGCCAGGAUGAGGUUCUCCUCCUGUUCCCGACAUAGUCAAUUUCAGUUCAUGCUAGGAUGAGAUUUUUCUCUUGUUCCUAACAGGGCUUGAGGGC
rnacentral:lncRNA from 1 species